rnacentral:rRNA from 1 species
GAUGAACGCUGGCGGCGUGCUUAGCACAUGCAAGUCGAACGAUGAAGCCCAGCUUGCUGGGUGGAUUAGAGGCGAACGGGUGAGUAACACGUGAGUAACCUGCCCUUAACUCUGGGAUAAGCCUGGGAAACUGGGUCUAAUACCGGAUAGGAGCGUCCACCGCAUGGUGGGUGUUGGAAAGAUUUAUCGGUUUUGGAUGGACUCGCGGCCUAUCAGCUUGUUGGUGAGGUAAUGGCUCACCAAGGCGACGACGGGUAGCCGGCCUGAGAGGGUGACCGGCCACACUGGGACUGAGACACGGCCCAGACUCCUACGGGAGGCAGCAGUGGGGAAUAUUGCACAAUGGGCGCAAGCCUGAUGCAGCGACGCCGCGUGAGGGAUGACGGCCUUCGGGUUGUAAACAUCUUUCAGUAGGGAAGAAGCGAAAGUGACGGUACCUGCAGAAGAAGCACCGGCUAACUACGU